rnacentral:lncRNA from 1 species
AGACAGAGUCUCACUCUGUCACCCAGGCUGGAGUGCAGUGCCAUGAUCUUGGCUCACUGCAACCUCUGCCUCCUGGGUUCAAGCGAUUCUCCUGCUUCGGCCUCUCGAGUAGCUGGGAUUACAGGCAUGUGCCACCACGCCCGGCUAAUUUUUUUUAGAGACGGGGUUUCGCCAUAUUGGCCAGGCUGGCUGGUCUCGAACUCCCGACCUCAGGUGAUCCGCCCGCCUCGGCCUCCCAAAGUGCUGGGAUUACAGGCGUGAGCCACUGCGCUGGGCACUUUAAUUCUGUCUUUACUUUCUGAGAUAGUCUCGCUCGGACGCUCAGGUUGGACUGCAAUGGCGUGAUCUCAGCUCGCUGAAACUUCCACCUCCCGGAUUCAAGCGAUUCUCCCGUCUCAGCCUCCCGAGUAGCUGGGAUUAUUGACGCGCAGCACCACGCCCGGCUAAUUUUUGUGGUUUUUGUAUCUUCUGUCUUCUGCUCUUUAGUACCGCAUAGAGCCACAGAAGACUAGUGAGUCGAACAAACGGCCCCUCUUGCAGCAGUUGUUGAUCACAGGGCUGCCCCCGGUACUCAUCCUGUGUCUCUCGUCCAAAUCCCCGCUCCUCCCCAGCUAUCACCUCUGCCGAUGCUGGUGGUUUCCCUGGGUACCGGGAACCAAACUCUCAUUCCCCAGGAACCUAAGUCAGGGUUCCUGCACAUUCACAGUUAUGGGUGGCCCUGGGAGUAACACCUGGCACCCAAACAGAUCACCAGAGUCCACACAUAGUCCACCUGCCCUCCCUGCAUAAGAUCAGCUCUUCUUCCUCCCGAUGAUAGAUCAGGGUCAAUGAUCCCUGCCAAGAUGGCGACUGCUCCAGCCUGCUGGUCCAACCUGUCCAGCCACAGCUGUAGCUUGAAGGCUUGAAGUUCAAUGGGACCCUCUCCUGCUUUCUACAAACUGGUUCCUUUAUUUUUAUUUAUUUGGGACGGGGUCUGGCUCUGUCACCCAGGCUGGAGUGCAGUGGUGCAAUCACUGCUCACUGCAGCAUCCACCUCCCAGCAUCCAUCCACCCUCCUGCCUCAGCCUCUGGAAUAGCUGGGGUACAGAUAGGC